CAUUUGAAGCGAGUAAAUGGCUUAUCGAUAAAAGUCGAUUCGAAUAUAUCGAUGGAGAAUCGAGGAUGGCAAAGUCGGAAAAAUCGGUGCAAGUCGUGCACGGCGAUGACCGAGGCUGACCUACUUAUUUACAUAGAACACUGACAAGUCCGCCCACGUUCCAUUCGAAUACGAAUCCAAGUGACCAAACUAUGAACCAUUACGAAUUCCUUUGAAUAUAUAUAUGGGGAGAAAAUCGAGUGUAGAAAUAAUUAAGUACUUACUACUUGGUAAAAAUUGUGGGACAUAAAUAGGAUUGGCUGUCGUGAUGUGUAUGAAGACGCAACAGAGCGAGAUGAUGAUCCAACUUAAUCUGCGAUGAUUCCACAUCUGAAACAGAAAA